rnacentral:rRNA from 1 species
GACGAACGCUGGCGGCGUGCUUAACACAUGCAAGUCGAACGAAGUGGCGAACGGGUGAGUAACGCGUAAUCAACCUGCCCUUCAGUGGGGGACAACAGUUGGAAACGACUGCUAAUACCGCAUACUGAAGGAGGGGCUUUGGUCUGAUUAGCUCGUUGGAGGGGUACCGGCCCACCAAGGCGAUGAUCAGUAGCCGGUCUGUGAGGAUUAACGGCCAAAUUGGGACUGAGACACGGCCCAGAUUCCGACUGGAGGCAGCAGUGGGGAAUCUUCCGCAAUGGACGAAAGUCUGACGGAGCAACGCCGCGUGAGUGAUGACGGCCUGCGGGUUGUAAAGCUCUGUUAAUCGGGACGCGGUACCGGAAUAGAAAGCCACGGCUAACUACGUGCCAGCAGCCGCGGUAAUAC